GAUCCUGGCUCAGGAUGAACGCUGGCGGCGUGCUUAACACAUGCAAGUCGAACGAGAAAUGAAGACGGAAACCUUCGGGCGGAAGGCUUCAUUUCGAGUGGCGGACGGGUGAGUAACGCGUGGGUAACCUGCCUCAUACAGGGGGAUAACAGUUGGAAACGACUGUUAAUACCGCAUAAGACCACAGCACCGCAUGGUGCGGGGGUAAAAACUCCGGUGGUAUGAGAUGGACCCGCGUUCGAUUAGCCAGUUGGCGGGGUAACGGG
rnacentral:rRNA from 1 species